AUCGCUCAUCCGUCCUCAUCCACCCGCUGCUGCGAAGACAUCGCUCCUCGACUCCUCCUCGCUCGCUCCUCCUCCUCCCCGCUGCCACCGCUCCUCCGCGGCCACGCCGGAGCCACUGCCGGGUCCUUCUUCUUCCCCACCGCCGGGUCCUGCUUCUUCCCCAUCCCCACCGACGCGGCCGGCCUCUUCGCUCGCGCCUCCUCCUCCCCGCUGCCGCCGCUCCGCCGCAUCCUAGACGGAGCUCUGCCGGAGCUCCGCCGGACUCUUACUCGGAGCCGCCGCCGGAGCAGGCCUCGGCCCCUCAUCAACGAUCAACGCUUGAUUGCCAAAUGGUCUGAUCCGGCCGCUCCGCUGCCAAGGCCACCACCCCGAGAUCGCGUGGAUCUGGCUGCUCCGCCGCCGAGGCCUUCAACCCUGAGCCCUUCUGCCAUGAGUCCGCAGCAGGCUCCAUUGUUGUGUUCACCGCCCGGGCCCCUCACCGCCAGAUCGCAGUCCACUCCACCGUGUAGUCGCUGUACUGUGCCCCUUCGCAGCUUUGCUGCCGAGGCCAACGCCCAGACGUUCAUCAACCCUAGGUGGCCAUGGUACCACGAUGCUGCGGUGACUGCUGAUACGAUUCCUGUUAUGUCAUGUUUGAUGCUGAAUCACGAGGGAUUCUCCAAGAGUUGGAAGCUAUCAAACAGCACCAGGCAGUCAAGUUGUACAGAUGGUGAAAAGUAUGGAGAAGCUGCAGUCAAGUUGCUUGCUGCUACAUUAGGAGAUCAAUGGGUGCUUGCUGAUAAAAGAAUGCAUAUAAAUAACAAUUGGUGGAGGCGGAUAAGGAGGCUGGUCAAGUCAGCCUCCUGCAAUUAUGUCACUGGUAAUAUGCUUUUCUAUAGCUGAUCUUUUCCCUCUUCGGUCAUGUUCUGUUCUGCUUACCACACCUCUCCUCCACCAAAAAAAAAAAAGUAUGGAACAUCAUCAUGUAGAAACUAAAAUUUAAGUUGACUCAAAUUAAGUAGAAAACAUGCUAGAAAGAAGUACCCCUCCCUCACUGCUGACAAAAGGAAUGAGGGCUUCAAAAGAAUUGAGAGUACAGGUAGCGGUCCUAGCGGAAGAAAGGAAGCAUAUGGAGCAAUAAAUUGGUCUGCCUUUACUACUAUUAGAGGUAAGCUGAAAAUGAUUUAUAAUCUCAUUUGGAUACAGUUAUCAUAAAUAUGUAAGUCAUAAACUCCCAGUGGUGCAAUAUAAAUUUUUUUAUAUGAAUUUUGAAUAGCAACUAGAUAUGACACCCAUGCACAUUACAUUUACAGAGAGCAUAUGACAUGCUUGCAAUGAUCAAACUUCCGAAGAAAUGUGCGGUUGUUGUUGUUAUGAGCUGUGAGGCCCAUCAAGCAGAGCAGAUUAGUGUGAUUUAUUGAUUCUAUAUGUUAAAAUUGAUAUACUACAUCAUGUUUCUAUGUUUUGUAGUGCAGACUUUUUCUAGAGAUAAUUUGUGUAUCCAUUCAAUAAUAUUUUUUUCUACAACUAAUUCAGGCAAACAACAAUGCUGGGAUGAUUUUUAUAAGCAGGACAUGAACGCUAGAAAGCUAAAUUGACACCCUGGUGCCUCCCGUUUAUAGAUGUCACCAACAAGUAAGAGUGUUCCUCUCGUGUUUAUAUUAGAAUAUUGUUAUUGCUUCUAUCUGUAAAACCUGAAAAAUCUGAAACCAUUCCUAUACUGAAUAAUAGAAGAUAUAAAAUGAAUAUGUGUUGCCAUUGCAUCCUUAUAUUUAUUUCUUCAAUCCACAAUUAACUAUCUAAACCACUUUUUUUUAUUUUAAUUCACAUAAAUUAUUUUCGUUGCUGGUUUUAGUAUGAAUAUU
rnacentral:lncRNA from 1 species